ACGUUUUUAGUUUAAUUCGGAAAAAACAUCAAUCUUCUAAAUUGAAUAUGAAGGUUCAAGUCCAUCAAAACGUA
rnacentral:tRNA from 1 species